UACGAAGGGGGCGAGCGUUGUUCGGAUUUACUGGGCGUAAAGGGCGCGCAGGCGGCGGAUCAAGUCAGACGUGAAAGCCCCGGGCUUAACCUGGGAACUGCGUUUGGGACUGAUUUGCUAGAGAUCGGGAGAGGAGAGUGGAAUUCCCAGUGAUAGAGGUGAAAUUCGUAGAUAUUGGGAAGAACACCGGUGGCGAAGGCGGCGUCUCUGGACCGAUACUGACGCUGAGGCGCGGAAAGCGUGGGGAGCAAACAGG
rnacentral:rRNA from 1 species